CCGGCGGGCGCGCGGGAGACGGACAGGCCAGCGCUGCCCCCGCGGUGCUAGGCAGGUCGGGGAUGCGGGCCAGGGGUGCGAGACCAGACCGAGAAGUGGGCCUCAAGAUAGGGACUGGGACGAGGGGGGCAUUGCGGAAUUCGAAUGAAGGGGAGAAGGGGAGAAGGGGCAGGUGGGGGGGGGGGCAGGGGAAGGAAGGGGAGAGGCGGAGAAAGAGGGCUAGAGCCUGAGAGCGCGCCUCCGAGGGUCAGCGGCCUCCACGGCCCGACACACACCCUCCAGGAGACCCGAGAAAACAUCUCCAAGAGGAGAAGCACCAAUGCCCAAAUGGGGAGGAGAGUCGAGUAGAGACAGCGGAGCACCUGCGCCCCGUGGAGAGAAGCAGGCGGCAAAGUGUUGGUGAAGGGAGGCAAGAAGGCUGAGGCUGCCCGGAGAGGUGGCCGGUGCUGGCAUGGGGUGGGGGGGGGGGGCUCUCAGACCCUGCAGUGCCCCCCACCCCACCCCAGCCCGCGCCGGGCCCUUGCCUGCUGCCUUCCCCGGACUUCAAGGCUGGAGGCAACCUGAUGCUGGCUCGAUGUAGCAUCUUCCACAGGCUCUGAGACUGUUGGGACCUUGCCCCUCCACCUCCCGGGUGUCAGCGAACCCGUGCUUCUGAGUGGAGUGAUUAGAAAACAAUUUUAAAAGCUCAUUCUAAGGAGAUCUGUCAAAAGUGAUGACCGAAGACUGAGCAUACGGUCCCUUCCCCACACUCCAUUCUGCAUGGAGACUCCACCGGUCUGACCCCAUAGCAGUGUACCAAGAGCCCUCAAGGAGCCACCAGAAAGCCCGGGACUGGACGCAGCUCUGUGAGUGACCGGCCGACCUGGAGGAAGGGAGUUUGUUUAUCUGGACGUGGGUUCCUCUGCUUGACCUCUGGUGACUGAAGGGACAAGGAAUCACUGAGGGGAGACCACGGGGCAGGGGCUUACUCACCCUCACCAGCCGCCACCCUCUGUCUGCUUAGCCUGGAUCUGCUUGGCCUGCAGACCUAUUCUCGACCCGUGGCCGUCACAUGUCCUCCCGUCCUGCCCUUGGGCCACCACCCCUCGAUUACAAGGGCAGAGGAGAGACUUGUGGGGAGGGUCUCAGACCAGUGUCACAGGAUGCCUGGUUCUCAGAGCACACCGUCUGGGGACACCUGCCUAUGGCGGGAGAGGUCGGAGAGUAGAGGUCUGAGUAACACCAGAGGCUCUGCUCAGCCCACUGCUUACUGACUGAGGACUUUGGCAAGCCCCAAACUGUCCUCGGUCAAGGCCUUCCUUUUGUAGAACGAGGAUGAUGGUCAUCACUCUUUCCACAAUCGAGGAGAGUUCUGAUGAUAAGAUGAGAUGAAGAAUUAAAAAGAAUUAAUU